rnacentral:misc_RNA from 1 species
AGAGAACCUAUGGAGGAAAUCAGGAGCAUCUUAGAUAAUGCGUGUUUGUUCGCAUCCGGAUUAACUCUUGAUGCCAUUUAGGGUAAACAUAAGUUAUCCUUAAGCAAUUAACCAAACAGAUGACCCUAUUGUUACAGUUCUCUAUUUGUUUAAAACAUUGGGUUUAGAGCAUUAACAAACUAGGUAUUAACAUUGAAACCAGUUUUCUAAAGAAU